AUAGGCUAAUUGACAUAAUUUGAGUCAAUUGGAGGUGYACCUGUGGAUGUAUUUCAAGGCCUACCUUCAAACUCAGUGCCUCUUUGCUUGACAUCAUGG